CUAGAGUUUGAUCCUGGCUCAGGAUGAACGCUGGCGGCGUGCCUAACACAUGCAAGUCGAACGGAGAGUUUUUGAUGAAGCUUCGGCGGAAUUGAAGAUUUCUUAGUGGCGGACGGGUGAGUAACGCGUGGGUAACCUGCCUUAUACAGGGGGAUAACAGUCAGAAAUGACUGCUAAUACCGCAUAAGCGCACAGGACCGCAUGGUCCGGUGUGAAAAGCCGAGACGGUAUAAGAUGGACCCGCGUCUGAUUAGCUGGUUGGUGAGGUAACGGCCCACCAAGGCGACGAUCAGUAGCCGGCCUGAGAGGGUGAACGGCCACAUUGGGACUGAGACACGGCCCAGACUCCUGCGGGAGGCAGCAGUGGGGAAUAUUGCACAAUGGGGGAAACCCUGAUGCAGCAACGCCGCGUGAAGGAUGAAGUAUUUCGGUAUGUAAACUUCUAUCAGCAGGGAAGAAGAAGACGGUACCUGACUAAGAAGCCCCGGCUAACUACGUGCCAGCAGCCGCGGUAA
rnacentral:rRNA from 1 species